rnacentral:rRNA from 1 species
UACAGAGGGUGCGAGCGUUGUUCGGAAUUAUUGGGCGUAAAGGGCGCGUAGGCGGUGCGGUAAGUCACCUGUGAAAUCUCCUGGCUCAACUGGGAGCUUGCAGGCGAAACUGCCGUGCUGGAGUGUGGGAGAGGUGCGUGGAAUUCCCGGUGUAGCGGUGAAAUGCGCAGAUAUCAGGAGGAACACCGGUGGCGAAGGCGGGUCUCUGGGCCGAUAUCGACGCUGAGGAGCGAAAGCGUGGGGAGCGAACAGG